GUGAAUCAUCGAAUCUUUGAACGCAAAUUGCGCCUUUUUCGGAAGGCAUGUCUGUUUGAGGGCACCAUUUAACAAAUAAUGUGCAUUUCGUGUGCACACGUUGAUGAGCUUUCCAAAAUUAUGUAUUAUUAUUUUUGGUGGCGCAUAAUAAACAGCGUGGGCUUUUUCUUUCGAUUCUCGUGUAGUAAGUAAAUUUCGACGCUUGGGUCGAGAAAAAGUGCGUGCCGCGCAAUGGGUGUGGCGAAUAUACCCCUGCCCCAAUGCCACUCUUUCCCUGCGAAAGAACAUCUUUAUUCAGGG
rnacentral:misc_RNA from 1 species